AGUCGAACGAACUCUGGUAUUGAUUGGUGCUUGCAUCAUGAUUUACAUUUGAGUGAGUGGCGAACUGGUGAGUAACACGUGGGAAACCUGCCCAGAAGCGGGGGAUAACACCUGGAAACAGAUGCUAAUACCGCAUAACAACUUGGACCGCAUGGUCCGAGCUUGAAAGAUGGCUUCGGCUAUCACUUUUGGAUGGUCCCGCGGCGUAUUAGCUAGAUGGUGGGGUAACGGCUCACCAUGGCAAUGAUACGUAGCCGACCUGAGAGGGUAAUCGGCCACAUUGGGACUGAGACACGGCCCAAACUCCUACGGGAGGCAGCAGUAGGGAAUCUUCCACAAUGGACGAAAGUCUGAUGGAGCAACGCCGCGUGAGUGAAGAAGGGUUUCGGCUCGUAAAACUCUGUUGUUAAAGAAGAACAUAUCUGAGAGUAACUGUUCAGGUAUUGACGGUAUUUAACCAGAAAGCCACGGCUAACUACGUGCCAGCAGCCGCGGUAAUACGUAGGUGGCAAGCGUUGUCCGGAUUUAUUGGGCGUAAAGCGAGCGCAGGCGGUUUUUUAAGUCUGAUGUGAAAGCCUUCGGCUCAACCGAAGAAGUGCAUCGGAAACUGGGAAACUUGAGUGCAGAAGAGGACAGUGGAACUCCAUGUGUAGCGGUGAAAUGCGUAGAUAUAUGGAAGAACACCAGUGGCGAAGGCGGCUGUCUGGUCUGUAACUGACGCUGAGGCUCGAAAGUAUGGGUAGCAAACAGGAUUAGAUACCCUGGUAGUCCAUACCGUAAACGAUGAAUGCUAAGUGUUGGAGGGUUUCCGCCCUUCAGUGCUGCAGCUAACGCAUUAAGCAUUCCGCCUGGGGAGUACGGCCGCAAGGCUGAAACUCAAAGGAAUUGACGGGGGCCCGCACAAGCGGUGGAGCAUGUGGUUUAAUUCGAAGCUACGCGAAGAACCUUACCAGGUCUUGACAUACUAUGCAAAUCUAAGAGAUUAGACGUUCCCUUCGGGGACAUGGAUACAGGUGGUGCAUGGUUGUCGUCAGCUCGUGUCGUGAGAUGUUGGGUUAAGUCCCGCAACGAGCGCAACCCUUAUUAUCAGUUGCCAGCAUUAAGUUGGGCACUCUGGUGAGACUGCCGGUGACAAACCGGAGGAAGGUGGGGAUGACGUCAAAUCAUCAUGCCCCUUAUGACCUGGGCUACACACGUGCUACAAUGGAUGGUACAACGAGUUGCGAACUCGCGAGAGUAAGCUAAUCUCUUAAAGCCAUUCUCAGUUCGGAUUGUAGGCUGCAACUCGCCUACAUGAAGUCGGAAUCGCUAGUAAUCGCGGAUCAGCAUGCCGCGGUGAAUACGUUCCCGGGCCUUGUCACACCGCCCGUCACACCAUGAGAGUUUGUAACACCCAAAGUCGGUGGGGUAACCUUUUAGGAACCAGCCGCCUAA
rnacentral:rRNA from 2 species